rnacentral:rRNA from 1 species
AGAGUACGUGAAACCGUUUAGGGGUAAACCUGAGAAACCCGAAAAGUCGAAGGGAGAAAUUCACCGCGGUUCGACGUGUUCGGAGAUGGACGGGCGAGAGACGGCGCGUUUACGGACGCGACGCUCCGUCCGUCGGUCUCGCCGGCGACGAACGCGUGCACUUUUCUCCUGGUAGGACGUCGCGAUCCGUUGGGCGUCGGUCUACGGUCGACGGUGGUGACCGCGAGUCGUUUUUCGGAACGUACGCGCGGACCCGUCGCGCCCGGCCGACUCGCUCGACGGUAUAACGAAAACGGUUGAGAGCCGCUUUUAAAGCGUUCGACUCGCGGCAAGCGCGCCGGAUGUUGUCGGUCGUCGGACCUGGUGCCGACCUCGACCUCCGGCGACUGUUGGCCGCGAAGUUCUCGAACCGACUCUCGUACAUAUGAAAAACCGAUCGGCGACGCUAUAGCUUUGGGUACUUUCAGG